UCCAAACAGCGGAUUAAUAGGAUGGGUACCAAAUUGUGACACCCUGCACCAUCUCAUUCGGAGUAAAGAGAUGCUAGAAAGAUCACCUUAAAUCUAGAGCACAAACAUAUGCUUAAUUUUGCUAAAGAUUAUGACCAUUUGCCACUUAUAGCUAAAGUGGAGGUGUUUGAGUAUGCUCUGCAAAAUAGUGAAGGAAAUGACCUGGCAAGGGUGUUUUAGUUAAAAAGUUGCACUUUUGAGAAUUGGCUGGA